rnacentral:pre_miRNA from 1 species
GUGGGUGUUCUUGGAAAUUCGCCUCGAUCGGUAGCUAAAUUUCUGAUUACUCCUAAAAG